ACUCCUACGGGAGGCAGCAGUAGGGAAUCUUGCGCAAUGGGCGAAAGCCUGACGCAGCCAUGCCGCGUGAAUGAUGAAGGUCUUAGGAUUGUAAAAUUCUUUCACCGGGGACGAUAAUGACGGUACCCGGAGAAGAAGCUCCGGCUAACUUCGUGCCAGCAGCCGCGGUAAUACGAAGGGGCUAGCGUUGCUCGGAAUUACUGGGCGUAAAGGGCGCGUAGGCGGACAGUUUAGUCAGAGGUGAAAGCCCAGGGCUCAACCUUGGAAUAGCCUUUGAUACUGGCUGUCUUGAGUGCGGGAGAGGUGUGUGGAACUCCGAGUGUAGAGGUGAAAUUCGUAGAUAUUCGGAAGAACACCAGUGGCGAAGGCGACACACUGGCCCGUUACUGACGCUGAGGCGCGAAAGCGUGGGAGCAAACAGGAUUAGAUACCCUGGUAGCGACUGA
rnacentral:rRNA from 1 species